AUGAAAUUCAGAAACGUUUGUAAAGUGAUGAGUGGACAGUUUGUACGAGGGAGGAGGAAGCACAGGGACAGCAAUCUCCUCCUCUUCCUCCUCCUGUGUGGGACUGUUUCUGCAGAGACAUCAACGAGGAGGAGAGACAUCGUCAUGAUGACAGACUUCCCUUAUGAGAAACAAACAGACGGAGACUCACUGUGGACCAAAGACCCUCCUGUCUUUCUCUCAGGAUUCUCCAGGUUCAGACGCUGGUUGCUUCCUGCUGUCACAGCUGUAGUCGCUGCAGUUGCCCUGAUCCUGAUCAUAGUGCUGGCAGUCAGCAAUGUGAAGACGUCGAACCGUUUUUCCUCUAUGGAGCAGUCCCUGAACGCCUCGAUGCAGCAGGCCCAAGGUAACACAAACACAACAACCAGAGAGUGAACAGGUUGUAGUGGAGCUUUGUCCCUCUGCUGUCCAACACAGAGUCCAACACAGAGUCCACAACACAGAGUCCACAACACAGAGUCCAACACAGAGUCCACAACACAGAGUCCACAACACAGAGUCCAACACAGAGUCCACAACACAGAGUCCAACACAGAGUCCACAACACAGAGUCCACAACACAGAGUCCAACACAGAGUCCACAACACAGAGUCCACAACACAGAGUCCACAACACAGAGUCCACAACA
rnacentral:lncRNA from 15 species